rnacentral:lncRNA from 1 species
GCAGGAUCCACCUGAGGAUUGUUACCAAAAAGAGAACUGGAGGGGAAGAUCGUGGGCUGUUGAAUUUCUAGAAGAAGCUUGCUGUGGAUGGUUUUCUUGAUGCAAACUUGGCUGUUCUCAUCAGAGAUGGAGCUUGGGCCUUGCUGUCACUGGGAAUGGCUGCCCUUCUCAUCAGGGGAGCUCUGAUCUUCACUAUGAGCAUCACUUCCUGGCUCCGAUGUGGAUCCCUCAGCCUGGUGACACAAGUCCUUCAUCUCACUGGCAACAAGCGUCUCCACAAGCACAGAGGCCCCUGGCAAUGGUCAGCAGGAAGUGGUUAUUGUGAACAUAGAAAGGGCGUCAGAUUUGCAGCGGAGUUUUCCCUGGCUGAUCCUGCCUCCUGCCACUUUAUCCUAAUAAAUUUCCUGCAGCCCAAUGUCCCUCUGAAUCUCUGCUUUCUGGAGGACCCACUAACCUCCCAGAGUGCACCUGUGUGCAGAGCCAGGCAGAAACUGUGGAGAUGGAGGCAGAAGCACCUUCCCCUUUGGGGUGGUAUUGACUGGAAGGAGCUGAAGGGACCCUGCGUGUAGAUGUAAAUUGUGGUUAUGUUCAUUUGGGCCAUAAAUAUCCACUGAGCUG